UUAUAAAAAUUGAAAAAAAACGGUUUCUAAAACAGGAAAACAUUUUUGUUGUAUGAAGUGAGCAAUCGAAUUUCUUCGUUUUUUUAAUUACAUCGUUUAAACGACCGGAAAAGUUCGUUUGCUCUUUCCUUACUAAAAGUCGGCCGGUUUAGUCUGUAAAACAUUACAUGCGGUGAUAUUCUGCAGGAAAACAACUAGCGGCCGUUUCCGUUCGGUUUUCUAUAGAAUCUGGUCCCGAACUAUGAAUCUCGAAUAUCAAAUAUCCUCUAAAUGAAGAAGAAAGUACAAUUAUGUUCAACCUUAAAUAAUAUGGGGUUUCAUUAAAUGUGCGUUCAUCGAAUAUUACAAAAAAUGCAAAUACUGGCCUGAGAAUCAAUGAAGGUAAUUGGUCACUUUAUAGGUUUUAUAUUGAGCUUACUUAAGCUUUGUGCAUUUUUGUAUGCAGAAAAAAUGCAGAAACAGGUGUUAAGACUUCGUUUUUGAAGAAUGAUUUGAAAUGAGCUGCCAAAUCGCCUACAGUGACUUAUAUAAUUUCAUUCAAUUCUUCAUUUUCAUGGUGUCCACAUCUGUCAGUACAUUAUGAUUUAAUUUUGUUUUGUUAAUACCAUUGCGCCUAAAAAAAAAAAAAACAAAAA